UAGAAGGCUGAUGUUGUACAAGUCGUCUAUGAUUUUUUUAUUGUUGCUAGUGGGUGUGGGAAGGGUGCGACCGGUGUGACUAAGUCCUUUGUACUGCGGCCAUUUCUGGCCUAUUGUACUAUCCGCAGAUGAUAAGUGAGGGUGAUUGUGGAGCAAUUGCGUCUAAAUCAUGGAACGUUUUCCUCCACUGGGAUUGUCGGUUGGAAUCCCACUGGAGGCAGGGAUGGAUGUGCGUGAGGGCUUUACAGCCAUAGAUAGGAGGAAUGGAGAGGAAGUGUUUGAUUUAAUUAAACCAAAUUUCAUAAAUGCGUGGCGUAUGUAAUUUCAGUAUUAAGUUUUCAAAACGUGUCGACAUAAGAUUUUGCAGUAAGUGGACAGUUGUGGUAUGCAGCAGCAUGUGUAAUGUUCAUCAUAUAUGUUCCUGUAGUUUGAAGCUGGCAGUAUGUAGAGUAUUCGCAUUUGUGGGCUGUUUCCGUCCUGAGAUUACAGGAUGAGGUAAGGAAUCCUAGCUGGUUGGGGCUCCUUCCCAGGCCACAGUUUAGUUAUCCUGUCAGUACCAAGGAAACAAUGAGUUUAUCGAACAGCAUGGUAUGAAGAAAGUGGGGCUGCAGGCAGCGUUCAAAAUACUUAGUGAAAAGAUCAUUUGAAAAGGCAUCUGAAUAACCAACCUGUAGAUGGAUUAUAAUUAAUGAUCGUGUAAGCGUAGUAUAAUUGUUACUACUUGUUUGACAGUUCUGGAGAGGUGCCUGUGGAGAGACUCAUUGCAACUCAUGUCAGAGCGAGACAAAAACGUAACAGAUUCCUUGCCUUUGCUAUAUGUUCUGUAAUGACAUCCUGUGUGGGAGGUAUGUAACAUGAGAAUAAUCUGUACACUUCUGAGACUGAACAUUUUUUAUUUAGUAGCCAUGUGUGUAUUCUACAGGCCUCAGACACAUCUGAUUCCAGAGAUCUGCUGUCCUGAUGGAGGUGUUUCUUAGUUUUGCUGAGUGGCAGAAUAGUUCCUCAAAUUAGGCCCAACCAUUUUUCAGUAUUCACUGAUAAUCCAUUGUUGAGUGAGUGCUGUAGGGCCAGUGUAGCGGAGGAUAGGGUGCAAAGUGUAUGAGCAGAACUAGGCAAGGGGCGUGAAGCUGGGAAGUGCAGAAGGCCACACACUCAUGUGUCAGUGCCAGCCUUCUUCUGUGUUUGGGUAUGGCACUCUGUUGAAGUGGUAAAGAAUACCGAGAUUUUGCAAGACUUUGCUGUCACUUGAUAUUGCAGCAGAUGAAAUGUUAGGAGCAGUUAUUGGUGAGGAGCGUAUGAGUUCAGUAGGAGAGCGACCAGCAAGUUUGUGCAUCACUAAAGUUUAGUGCCUCUUGUAGUUCCAAACUCAAUGUCAGGGAUCAUCUUGAUUAGCACACUCAUGGGUUGGUUAACACACUUCAUGGUGCACUCACAUUUACAAGUAGAAUUUGUAGAACUUUAUCUGUGCUGUUCAUGUUGGCAGUCCUGGAAUGGUGGCAUCAGUGAAGGGUGGCUGUUCCCAGCAAUGAAGGAUGUCGAGUUUCUGAGUGAGCAGGAGCCACAUGGCAUCUUCCUCUCUAUGGAUCCAUCAUAUUGGCAGUUUGAGAGCUGUAUCAGUGAAGAAAAUCUGUAUCAAGUUUGUGGGUGAGCAAGGAUUGUGCAGCGUCUGCCUCUUCACUUGUGCAGCGUCUACAAGGAGCCCCCUGUACCACAGGCCAGAUCAUAGUCUGUGCUGGACGUGUUUGUGUAUGGGAGGCUUCUGAGAUGGUGCAGCUUCUGGAUGCAAGAAUUUCACAACAAGAGGCGGAACAGUCGUUGUGCGGACUCCCCGCCGUGUUUACAAAGGCGUUGCUGGGCAGCGCUGCCUGGAGUUGAUUAUGGCUACGUAGCAACUGAAGCGUCCCGUGUUACGUCAGCGCAGGGAAAGGGGUGUCUACCGAGCGUUGCACACUGAUGGACGGAGUGGGGGUAUGUGAUGUCACUCGCGAGGUCUCAGAGUUCACGCGACCCCCACCUCCCACUACGCCAUUCACGUCACACUAAGUUAAUUUUGCUUCCAUGUUGCGUUACAUUACAUCACUUCAUCAUCAUAUUUGCAUUCGGUUUACAGAGUUUCAGUGACAUUCAAGCAUCAGUAUUAAGUAGCAAGCAGGAAAUGCUUGCAAAUGUAUGAGUAGUGCUGUCUUUUAAAAGCCAGGGUGCUAGGGUUCAAGGCAAGAACACACCGUUAUCUGCACACUUUUUCUGUGGUGUUAUAAUCAUGAAUUGAUCAUAAAAUAAUAUCUCUUAGUAUACUAUAGUUCAGUACAAAGCAAUGUGAUACAUUAUAGUACAGUUUGCUACAGUUUAUUGUGCGUUAGUAUAAUAUAAUAUAGUAAACUAUCUUACCACGUGCAGAUUUCAAGUAUCCGCAGUGUGCCUUUUGUAUCCAGCUUUGGACAUCAUGGUACUUGGCUUUAGUUUGUGCACACACUGGAAAAGUUUAACAAGAUCAGCAUUUACUGGAAGUCACAGGGUGAUGGCAUUUGAAAGCCGUGUGUCCUCCAGUUUCUGUAUUAUGAUUGCUAUGUAUCUCUCUCUGGUGUAAUGCUCCACCACCAUCUGUGAGCCAAUUGUAUAGAAAUUGUGGGAGCUUCAGUGUCUUAACAACCCUAUGGGCCUGCUUGGCCUGUUACAGGGAUAGCUUUACCUUAAUAUGCAUCUGUCUCUUGGUUUUUAUGUUCAGUGUCCAACUUACACCUGAAUGUGCUACUAUGUAUGCGACCUAUGACCAGCUGCACUUGCAACCACAAAAAAAUGAAAAAUAAAAGAUGAUUAAAAUGUAAAAGUCUUUAAAAAUAAAUUAUAAAGAUGAUCAA